rnacentral:lncRNA from 1 species
AAUCUCAAGGAAGCUCUUUGGGAGCCAGGAUUCCCAGCACUUAGCUGGUGGGCAAAGGGGUUCAACCCCUUCCCCACACCCCACCUUCCCUCCUCCCAGUCUUCGGGAUUGCGGAGCUCCUGCCGGGAUCCAAGAGCAGGCUCUUGGAGGUCGAAGAAGGAUAUAACCUCCAGACCUGGAAUUUAAGACGCAAGAACCAGCCAGCAAAAGUGGCAGCCGAGCAUGCGAGGGACUGCUGAUGGCUUUUUAUUAGGAAGCUAUGCAACUUGAGGUUCUACUGAAAAGGAGAAGAGGCCACUGGAGAUGGGAAGCCACGAAAACAUGAAGAUGUAGAAGUCUCAGCUCCUUCAAUGCUAUGUCUGCCAAGAUGCUGCCACACUCCCUUCUUGAUGAUAAUGGACUGAACCUCUGAACCUGUGGAGUGGGCAGAAGACAGCAGCCCCAGGGCUUGAGCCUCCCUUCACAGUGGGUACCUGGCACAGGCAGACAACAAGCAGUGAGUGGGCCAGCAGAAUGGAACGGCUUGGUCAGCACAGGCGCUUUCAUCAGAUGAAGUGGGGUCACCUUUUACACUCCUGUUAACUCCUUGGGUGGAAUUACCCAACGGAAUGAAAAUUGGAUGGAGUUAUGGCGGGACACUCUUACUGGACACUGAAACCAUCCUGCAGCAAAUUGCUUCUGUGAAAUCUUUCUGCUGUUUGGGAGGUAUCCUUCUAUAGCACAGAAACGGAAACUUCAGCCAGAAGAGAGGAAUUCAGUGACUCCAUGCCAACAGAAACAGAGCUCUGCAUUUGUUUCCUGAGCCUACUUGCACUUGGAAGGUUUCUUUCCUCACAAGAAACAUGUGUUACAGGAUAUAAAAGUGGCUUUCCGUUUGGGGUUAGAACCCGAAACAGAAAGACAACAGAGAAAAAUUUCAGCUCAGCCUUUCUAGAUUGGAAAUGAUGCAUGAAUGUUGUUGUUUCUCCAAGACUUCAGCACAGGUAUAACAUGGUGCUAAUUUAAUCACCCGGUGAAUCACCUUUUCUCUGUGAGAUGUUAACACUGAUGUAAGAUGUUUCCAUGUGAGGAACGGGAAAGACUUGAGACACAAAAAAGCUUCAAGGAUUGGUAAAUAGAAUAAUGUGGUCUGUACCCCACUAAUUUUUCUUGCCAUCCAUGAGAGGCCCGAUGGGCUGCAGCAAUGCAUCAUUUAGAUCGCCCCUUCAGCUGGUUCAUGGAAAACUAACAAAAAUUGAUGUUGUUAUCUGGGGUUUUCGUGUGUGAUUUGUCUAACUCUUUACAUUCAUUAUGGGUUUUGCCCUUCUUUAAUAAAAUGGCCUGAUAUUGCCUUCAGAUGUUGCA